rnacentral:rRNA from 1 species
UGCCUAAUACAUGCAAGUCGAACGGUCUUUCUAUGGAAGCUGCUCCACUGAGAAGAUAGUGGCGAACGGGUAGAGUAACACGUGGGUAACCGUGCCCAUAAGAGGGGGAGUAACAUCCGGAAACGGGUGCUAAUACCGCAUAGUUUCUUGAUCGCAUGAUUGAGAAAGGAAAGACGGCCUUUGUGCUGUCGCUUAUGGAUGGACCCGCGGCGUAUUAGUUAGUUGGUGAGGUAACGGCUCACCAAGACGAUGAUACGUAGCCGACCUGAGAGGGUGAUCGGCCACAUUGGGACUGAGACACGGCCCAGACUCCUACGGGAGGCAGCAGUGGGGAAUAUUGCACAAUGGGGGAAACCCUGAUGCCAGCAACGCCGCGUGAGUGAUGACGGCCUUCGGGUUGUAAAGCUCUGUCUUCAGGGACGAUAAUGACGGUACCUGAGGAGGAAGCCACGGCUAACUACGUGCCAGCCGCCGC